rnacentral:rRNA from 1 species
UACGUAGGGGGCGAGCGUUAUCCGGAAUUAUUGGGCGUAAAGAGUACGUAGGUGGUUUCCUAAGCAUGGGGUUUAAGGCAACGGCUUAACCAUUGUUCGCCCCAUGAACUGGGUUACUUGAGUGCUGGAGGGGAAAGCGGAAUUCCUAGUGUAGCGGUGAAAUGCGUAGAUAUUAGGAGGAACACCAGUGGCGAAGGCGGCUUUCUGGACAGUAACUGACACUGAGGUACGAAAGUGUGGGGAGCAAACAGG